rnacentral:rRNA from 1 species
AUGCUUUACCCUCCUCUGUGUGCUGGUGGUGGUGAUGCAGCGCGUCAUCGAUCGCGAGAUCUGCAAGCCCAAGUACCGCUGCGCUUGGGCCUGUGUCGACACGGCCGCGGACGGCGGUUGCAGGACGACCGAAUGCGGCCUCCAGUACUCAACGCAAGAUCAGAUCGGCACCUGCCCGAUCCCCAUCCGAGUCCAGGGCAGGCCGUGCCGUCCGCGGUGACCGGCCAUGCUUCAGCCUUCGCCUGCUCCGGCCUGAGUCUAGGGCCGUCAGGACCACCUCCCAGCCGUUCGACGGUUUGCCUGACUCGCUUCCAGCAUGUAUGUAUGAUCGGUCAUACCCCGCUGCCUUCCUCUUCACCGGAGCCAAAUACUGGUGAUGAGCUCAACAACAGCAUCAUUGUUGGUAAAUACCAUCAGCACUUACAGUCUACUCCACCUACAAAGAGCUAUGGCAAGGAAAUGGCAAACCAGAAGGAUGAGUUAGCCGAAAAGUUUCUAGCUGAUUACCGAGCGAUGCCAACGCUUGCAAAGGAAGUGACUUUAGCUGCAACUAGCAAGAUGUUGACUAAUUCACCUUCUGUCGCUGCUCCUGCCAAAGCUUGCUUCUCUUUUGGUAGCAAGAGAAGUCUCAAGGUCGAAUUUUGGGGCCGGGAAGCACUAGGUUCUCUGGUGGCCUACCACUAA